rnacentral:rRNA from 1 species
UACGUAGGGGGCAAGCGUUGUCCGGAUUUAUUGGGCGUAAAGAGCGUGUAGGCGGCCUGGUAGGUCAGCUGUGAAAACUCGAGGCUCAACCUCGAGACGUCGGUUGAAACCACCUGGCUAGAGUCCGGAAGAGGAGAGUGGAAUUCCCGGCUUAGCGGUGAAAUGCGCAGAUAUCGGGAAGAACACCCGUGGCGAAGGCGGCUCUCUGGGACGGUACUGACGCUGAGACGCGAAAGCGUGGGGAGCGAACAGG